rnacentral:rRNA from 1 species
GACGAACGCUGGCGGCGUGCUUAACACAUGCAAGUCGAACGAUGAAGCCCAGCUUGCUGGGUGGAAGAGUGGCGAACGGGUGAGUAACACGUGAGUAACCUGCCCUGAACUCUGGGAUAAGCACUGGAAACGGUGUCUAAUACUGGAUACGACCUAUCACCGCAUGGUGUGUGGGUGGAAAGAUUUAUCGGUUCUGGAUGGACUCGCGGCCUAUCAGCUAGAUGGUGAGGUAAUGGCUCACCAUGGCGACGACGGGUAGCCGGCCUGAGAGGGUGACCGGCCACACUGGGACUGAGACACGGCCCAGACUCCUACGGGAGGCAGCAGUGGGGAAUAUUGCACAAUGGGCGCAAGCCUGAUGCAGCAACGCCGCGUGAGGGAUGACGGCCUUCGGGUUGUAAACCUCUUUUAGUAGGGAAGAAGCGAGAGUGACGGUACCUGCAGAAAAAGCACCGGCUAACUACGUG